rfam:Otolemur garnettii contig178432, whole genome shotgun sequence.
CCUUUAGUUUUGAGGUUGGUGUACUGUGUAUGAGUAUACAUAUUUAUCACACACAGUCACUAUCUUCAAAAGUGAGGGUGC